AGCGAACGCUGGCGGCAGGCCUAACACAUGCAAGUCGAACGGACCCUUCGGGGUUAGUGGCGGACGGGUGAGUAACACGUGGGAACGUGCCUUUAGGUUCGGAAUAGCUCCUGGAAACGGGUGGUAAUGCCGAAUGUGCCCUUCGGGGGAAAGAUUUAUCGCCUUUAGAGCGGCCCGCGUCUGAUUAGCUAGUUGGUGGUGUAACGGACCACCAAGGCGACGAUCAGUAGCUGGUCUGAGAGGAUGAUCAGCCACAUUGGGACUGAGACACGGCCCAAACUCCUACGGGAGGCAGCAGUGGGGAAUCUUGCGCAAUGGGCGAAAACCUGACGCAGCCAUGCCGCGUGAAUGAUGAAGGUCUUAGGAUUGUAAAAUUCUUUCACCGGGGACGAUAAUGACGGUACCCGGAGAAGAAGCCCCGGCUAACUUCGUGCCAGCCGCCGCAGUAAUAC
rnacentral:rRNA from 1 species